UUCCGGUUGAUCCUGCCGGACCCCACUGCUAUCGGGGUGGGACUAAAACAUGCGAGUCGAGCGCCUUCAAGCUAUGGUGAAGGCGCGGCGAACGGCUCAGUAACACGUGGCUAACCUACCCUUUGGACGGGGACAACCCCGGGAAACUGGGCCUAAUCCCCGAUAGAUGAGAAGUCCUGGAAUGGUUUCUCAUCUAAAAGGUGUUUAGAGCAUGCUUCUAGGCGUCGCCAAAGGAUGGGGCCGCGGCCGAUCAGGUUGUUGGUGAGGUAACGGCUCACCAAGCCUAUAACCGGUACGGGCCGUGAGAGCGGGAGCCCGGAGAUGGGCACUGAGAUAAGGGCCCAGGCCCUACGGGGCGCAGCAGUUGCGAAAACUCCGCAAUGCGCGAAAGCGUGACGGGGCUACCCCGAGUGCCGUCCGCUGAGGACGGCUUUUCCACGGUGUAAGGAGCCGUGGGAAUAAGGAGAGGGCAAGUCUGGUGUCAGCCGCCGCGGUAAUACCAGCUCUCCGAGUGGUAGGGAUGAUUAUUGGGCUUAAAGCGUCCGUAGCCGGCCCGGCAAGUCUUCCGUUAAAUCCAACGAUUCAAUCGUUGGACUGCAGGAGAUACUGUUGGGCUAGGAGGCGGGAGAGGCCGACGGUAUUCUCGGGGUAGGGGUAAAAUCCUAUAAUCCCGGGAGGACCACCAGUGGCGAAGGCGGUCGGCUAGAACGCGCUCGACGGUGAGGGACGAAAGCUGGGGGAGCGAACCGGAUUAGAUACCCGGGUAGUCCCAGCUGUAAACGAUGCGGGCUAGGUGUUGGGGCGGCUACGGGCCGCUUCAGUGCCGCAGGGAAACCGUUAAGCCCGCCGCCUGGGG
rnacentral:rRNA from 1 species